rnacentral:rRNA from 1 species
UCACUCUNAGGGCGGACUGCCGGUAAUAAACCGGAGGAAGGUGGGGAUGACGUCAAAUCAUCAUGCCCCUUAUGACCUGGGCUACACACGUGCUACAAUGGUUGGUACAACGAGUUGCGAGUCGGUGANGNCNAGCUAAUCUCUUAAAGCCNNUCUCAGUUCGGAUUGUAGGCUGCAACUCGCCUACAUGAAGUCGGAAUCGCUAGUAAUCGCGGAUCAGCANCGCGCGGUGAAUACGUUCCCGGGCCUUGUACACACCGCCCGUCACACCAUGAGAGUUUGUAACACCCAAAAGUCGGUGAGGUAACCUUUUGGAGCCAGCCGNCUAAGGUGGGAUAGAUGAUUGGGGUGAAGUCGUAAAGGGGUUUAACCGUAAA